GAGAUACAGCAAAAAUCAUGAAUGUGUUAUACAGGUACCACUGAGUGAAAUCUGGGAAGCAGUGCUCUGAUCAAGCUACCUGCCUGCUUAAAAUUCUUCAACGACAGCCACGUUUUUCAGGAUAAAGUUCAAAUUCAUUAACAUGGCAUACAAAGCUGUCUCCAGUACUUCAAAACCCCAAUUCCCAAGUUAGCUAGCUGCACCCCUGAGUCCAGUCAUUGUAACUUCAUCAUUCAACAGUUCAGGUCAGGUAGGAGGAACACAAAAGUCUCCACACUCAAGUGCACACGCACGCGCACACACACCUGCUUAUAAUGUCCUCUCAUUCUUAGGUUAUGACCCAAUAUCAGAAAGGGGCAAAAAUAAAUUCUGUUCAAAAUGUGGCAGGAUUUGAAACAUAAUUCAUGAUAUCAGCUACAUAAGUCAUAAAAUCCCAAGUUUGUCAAUUGCAAAAUGUCCUAUUAAGCAUUAAGCUACAAAUUAGGAGUGCCAUCUUGUGGACACAUCCACCACUUCCACAUCAUGUCACCUCCUAGCCAACUCCGUGGUUGUUCUCACUGUGGAGGUCUCUGCCACAACUUCAGCAUUUUAUUGCAGAAGAAAACCCAGUCCUUGAACUGGUUUCUGCGUAGAACACACUGAAAGCCCUGGGAGAGGAAACCAGCAGACAGGAAAAGAGUAGACAUGGAAGAGCAAAUGAGUUCAUUGCUGGAAAGCUCGAAUUGUUAGUUUCGUUAAUGUGGGGUCCAAUUUGACUCUAUGGAGCCUAACUACCUAGCCUGAGCGCUCGCGGUGAGUAUGGGGUGGGAGAAUGUAAAGAGAAAGCAGGCAACAGUAGGAGUAAAACACACCAGAGGAAGGUGAUGUGGGUUUAUACUUGGGAACAACAUUACCUUGCCAUCUUAGGGCCAGAGGCAUUAAUCAUGGCUUCCCCAAUGCAUAAUUUCGAUGUUGGCAUUUCCUUCCCCAUUCCUUUCAGAAUCCUACCCUGUCAAGUAUUAUCUCUGAUGAAAUAUUCCCUGGGCCAGGCACGGUGGCUCAUGCCUGUAAUCCCAGCACUAUGGGAGGCCAAGGUGGGUGGAUCACCUGAGGUCAGGAGUUCAAGACCAGCCUGGCCAACGUGGCAAAACCCUGUCUCUACUAAAAAAAAAAAAUACAAAAAUUAGCUGGGCGUGGUGGCAGUUGACUGAAAUCUUAGAUACUCGGGAGGCUGAGGCAGGGAGAAUUGCUUGAACCUGGGAGGCGGAAGUUGCAGUGAGCCGAGAUCACCGCCAUUGUACUCCAGCCUAGGCGACACAGCGAGACUCUGUCUCGGGGGGAAAAAAAAGUUCAUAUCAAUUUCUAAUAUUCUAUAAUUAUUGUUUUUGGUCACAUAUACUUUUUCCAUGUAUUGAGGUGAACAGAUUGGUCUUAUUCUGUGUUAUAUUGAUUGAUUCAAAUUAUAAAUAAACCUUUCAUUCCUGUUAUAAACCCAA
rnacentral:sRNA from 1 species